rnacentral:sRNA from 1 species
AGAAGCCUCAGGGAGGUGGCUCAGGCCUAGGCUGCAAGCAGGGAACAGGUACCAGAAAAAUAUGCUAGGAAGCUUCUUGCUGGGAGACUAAUAUAAAUGGGUGGGCCAUUUGCUAGGAUACAAGAGAAACUUGCCAUUGGGCUGCUAGGGAAACUCGCCCAGGGAUGUGCGCCCCUGGGUCUCCCACACGCCAGUGACAAGGAGACCUGGGGCUCUCUGGCAAGAACCACAAGAAGCCCCUUCUUCCUGCUGUGUCCCUCCAGGGCCCUCUACUGACAGACCCAACACCGUUCCAGCUGGUAAAGGAGGACCCUCCAGAGGCCCAGCCCCAGGAUCAACAAAACAGAGCAAAAAAUGGGUGGACCUGGAGUUGAUCCUUAAUUGACGAUGGGCACAACAUGGAGCCUGAAAUCAUUUAUUUCCUUUUCAAGUUUCAGGCUUUCUGAUAGAGGCAAAGUACCUAGCCAUAAAUUGCAGAAAUGCUUCAUUGACCACGGAUUACCAUGGUGGGGCUGGAGCCAAUGUCCUUCUCCAGGAUGUGAAUGGAAAUAUCCCAUUAGAUUAUGCUGUAGAAGGGACAGAAUCCAGCUCUAUCCUGUUGACCUAUCUGGAUGAAA